GGUUGCGUUAUCGGGACCGAGUACAAAACCAAACUCGCAGGAGCAAGUUUUUUCAUUGUUAGCUGUCAGGAUGCAUUGUUGUGUGCAACGGUCCGUGGGCGUGCACUCUCUUUUCGUCGGACAAUCUACUUCAUCUGAAAAAACAGUGGCAUCGGACAGUCGGGAAAUCCGUCGCAAACGUGCUUUUUGCUGAUACAAUAAGGAUGAAAAUGAUGAGUCAUGGCAUGGGAAGGUCCAGCGAUGGAGAUAGUGUCGUUUCCCACCGAGGGUAUCGCUUUGCACAAAUACUGCGUGACAUCGCAACUGAAAGCGCACAGUUCCUCGUCGUCCCCAUUCGGACAAUCCAUCACACCGUCGCAGACCCAGUGGUACUCGUCGGUUGGGGAACAUGGCUUCGGAGUGAGGUUCUUGCAGGGUGCCAUUUCGUCCUCGCCGUUCGGACAGUCUGAUUUCCCGUCACACAUCUUGCUCUCACUGAUGCAUUCCCCAUUGGCGCAUCUUGAAUUCAAUUAAACGUGAAAGAAAAUAUAAUUUCUUGAGGAUUUCCAAAAUCGGCCGAAUCCUGCAAUGUCGAUGAAUGUUCGAUUUUUAAUCGUUUCAAUUUGCUCGUUUAUUUGUACUCGGAUUGCAGAAUCUUCUCGGUCUUUUUGAAACCUUUCGCUGUAGCUCGCGAUGUCCAUUCUACAAAGUUAGGGUAAGAAAUUCGAUGACACGAAACAAUUUCUUGUCGAAUUAACAAAUCGAGACGAGCAAAUGAAAUUUAUUGGUUUAACCAAAGUUUCGUUGGUUCAACGAUGCUCUCCGUCGCAGUAGGAAAUCGUCAUUGAAUAAGUCAAAGAAUUCUGGAGUGGGCGAAUAAACCGAAUUUUUUAUUGGGUCGACGAAUUUCAUUUUACACGCCACGAUUAAUCGAUCCUAAUUGACUGAAUUUCGGUCUUGAUGGCCUUUGGUACGGUCUACUGGUCUUCGUACCAAAGAAAGGGACAUCGGCGUCGAACACGAAUCGUGACAGGGACCAGCGGAGACGUACGAUGAAGUGGAAUAAAUGAAAAAACUAGC